UUUCAUCAAGUUCAUAUUUUUAUCGAUAAAUCGUGAGAUGAUAGGAUAUAGAUUCUACAUACAGGUAUAGAGUUCUAAAAGAUGCUGUCUACGAGGCUUUCUCUAACGUGAGAAAUUAACACAAUUACUCAUAAUUGCGUCACGAUUGGCACAAAUUAAUGAUUUUCCUACAAAGUUGAGAUCAGCGAUAAUAAUACGUAAACCCUUUAUUUUCUACAGGAGUUGAUAGAGACUUUCUACGGCGAGAUAUUAAUCUCCGCUUGAAUGUAACAUAGCGUCAUUGUGGUUGUCGAAGUUCACCUUCAUAGAUAUUUCGCGAUAUACGUUUCAAAGAUUGACAAGCAAUGUUGGAGGCUCGCGCCUCGAAACGGCUAAGGCAAUCUUUAUCUCGUGGUAUAGAAGAGAUCCGCAGGGUCAAGGCGGCGAACCGUGAAGGUGCGCCGUAACACCAUGACGUCGGCGUCCACGCCAUUGCCACUUUGCAACGCAUCCGUGCCGCAGGAGCGCGGAGUAUGUCAAUGAAAGGAAUCACGGUACCGGAGCGGAGAUUUGUUUUCGCGCUGAUCGACAAGGAUUAUUGCGCAAGAGGGCCUUGUCAAUCAUCCCGUGUUCGUAAUUGGCGAUUGGUUUUAAUUAUCGUCGUCGUUUAAAUCGAGUCGCCGAUCUGCCACUUGGAUUUAACUCUUUCGCACACACCGAGAGAAAUAAAUAUCAUACGUUCAGUUAAAUAACGAUCGAAUGAAAUUUUUUGUUACUGGCUACCAAAAACUUGGUUACAUUCAACGAAAUAUUUGGUCGCGAGUUGUAUGAAAACUGAAAACGAUUGUUUAAUUAAAACAACUGCUAUUUAGUACUUACAAUUAAAUUCAUUUGAUUAGUAUUUAAUUAAACGUUUGAUUUAUUUCAUCAAAUAUUUUUCUCAGAAUAUCCGAGUAGCCGAAGAAAAACUCUAAAUUUCUUUGUGCGAAUUGCUUUUAAAUACAGACUGGAGAUUUUUGGACAAUGCGUUUUAACUAUAGUCAGUCCCAAUAGCGUUUAUCGAAGGAAAAGAACAACGGAGGAAGAAUUUAUUGUGAUUAUAUCCGAAAUGAUAUCUCCUUUAAGAAGUUUAUUCAUGCGAUUAAGGUGAAAUUACCUCGUUUUACCUAAGAAUGAGAAAACCUAGGCGAAGCGUUGUGCAGCGACACGCGAUUCGAUCGCAGCACGGUCUGUUUAUAAAAUCAGUUUACAAGGCCUGUAAAACCUUGGUGCCAUAACGACUAAUGUUGUAGAAGAGGGGAGAUAAGACACGAGGUGUACACGUAGGUAUGUACGUACGGACGGUCUCUGCGAUCGUUUAAAGAAGGUGAAUGUCGUAUAGCUGCUCUCUUCAUAGGUUUCAGUUUCUUCUAACCAGUGCUACUGUCGACGCGUUGUUACAUUUUUUCCUGCUCGCGCUAUUUAACUUGUUACUCAAUUAUUCAACAUAUUCGACUAGCAGUUCGUCGGCAGGCCCCGCGACCGAAAGAUUUUCACGGAAUAUUUCUCACGAGUGUGGAGACUCGCCGUUUUGCCGGCGAGAAGACCGAGAGAAUCCACCGGGAAGCCUGAGAGGGGAUUCUUGAGAGGGGGUCGACGACCGAUCAGGUACACGCGAGAGCGGCCCAUCUCUGAAAAGGAACCGACAUUAAAGUCACUUAAUCGCAAUAACGGCGCCGGUGACGAGAGAGCGACUCUCUUCUCUCGUCAGUUCUCUCGCGACUCGCGUCUCCCUUUCGGACUCGAUUCUCCAAGUUUCUUCGUUGUUAGACGCAGUCAAUGCUCGACGCUUUGAGACGCAUGAUCUACGCGAGUGUGCGUCGAUAACGUGAGUCACGUAGUGAAGCGAUAUCAAGGAAAAAA
rnacentral:lncRNA from 13 species